rnacentral:lncRNA from 1 species
GCAAGGGACAGGGUUAGGGGUCCUUUCAAGGGGAACUGCCCCAUAAUGGCUUUUUUUUUCUUACACCCAGGAGAAGAAACCAUGCAAGCAUUUCUGAAAGGCACAUCUGUCAGUACCAAACCACAAUUGACCAAGGAACGGGGCAUAUCUUCCUCUGCAGGAAGCAGUGGAGAAACCAAGAAAGUCAAACCAGUUCCUUGGGUGGAAAAAUACCGUCCGAAGUGCGUGGAUGAAGUUGCUUUCCAGGAAGAAGUGGUUGCAGUGCUGAAAAAGUCUUUAGAAGGAGCUGAUCUUCCUAAUCUCUUGUUCUAUGGGCCACCUGGAACUGGCAAAACAUCCACCAUUUUGGCAGCAGCUAGAGAGCUCUUUGGGCCUGAACUCUUUCGAUUAAGAGUCCUUGAGUUAAAUGCAUCUGAUGAACGUGGAAUACAAGUAGUCCGAGAGAAAGUGAAAAACUUUGCUCAGUUAACUGUGUCUGGAAGUCGUUCAGAUGGGAAACCAUGUCCUCCCUUUAAGAUUGUAAUUCUGGAUGAA